AUUGAACGCUGGCGGCAUGCCUUACACAUGCAAGUCGAACGGCAGCGCGGGAGCAAUCCUGGUGGCGAGUGGCGAACGGGUGAGUAAUACAUCGGAACGUGCCCAGUAGUGGGGGAUAACCCGGCGAAAGCCGGACUAAUACCGCAUACGACCUACGGGUGAAAGCGGGGGAUCGCAAGACCUCGCGCUAUCGGAGCGGCCGAUGUCAGAUUAGCUAGUUGGUGGGGUAAAGGCCUACCAAGGCGACGAUCUGUAGCUGGUCUGAGAGGACGACCAGCCACACUGGGACUGAGACACGGCCCAGACUCCUACGGGAGGCAGCAGUGGGGAAUUUUGGACAAUGGGCGCAAGCCUGAUCCAGCCAUGCCGCGUGCGGGAAGAAGGCCUUCGGGUUGUAAACCGCUUUUGUCAGGGAAGAAACGCUCCGGGCUAAUACCACGGAGUAAUGACGGUACCUGAAGAAUAAGCACCGGCUAACUACGUG
rnacentral:rRNA from 1 species